GUCAUCAGCGUCCUGAGUUUAUUACACCCCCAGCAAGACACACAAGAAAUGUAACUGGACUGAUGAUCAUCACAAAUCAGUCCAGAAAAAAAAAAAAAAGAUUCAAAACACAUGCACGGGGAUCAUUUUUUUUUUUUUUCAAAGAAUCUCUGCCACAUGCAUUCCAAGAAGAACGUGGAAUUCAAGUUAGAGGGCUCUAAGUGGAAGAGAGAAGAGGCACAACCAUAUGAUUUGUGGUUGGAACAGAAAAAGGACGUCUGAUGUUCUCCUUCCUCCCCCUACCCUAAUGUUCGGCGCUUGGAGACGGACGGUCUGCUAAACUUAUCAUUUAACGUAGAGAAUCAAGUUGUUGAGACUGGCUUUUCUUCCAACCGGAUACCUGAAGGGUGGAGCAGGCGCCCCCUGUUCUGUCCCAGCAACCUACGAAGACUUCCGAACAGGAAGUAUUCGUCAAACAGAAAAUGAUAAAAAAUGAGUUUAUUCAUAAUGGCUAUUAUAGGCUCUGAAGUGUCAGUAACAUGCUGAAGGUGGGGCUCCCUGUGGUCCACGUUAAUCCACUACAGCUGAGGCUCAUUACCUGUGACGCCUUAGACAAGG